rnacentral:piRNA from 1 species
UGGUGUAGUCUCAUGUGACUUGUC